rnacentral:rRNA from 1 species
AGUGAACGCUGGCGGUAGGCCUAACACAUGCAAGUCGAACGGCAGCACAGUAAGAGCUUGCUCUUACGGGUGGCGAGUGGCGGACGGGUGAGGAAUACAUCGGAAUCUACUUUUUCGUGGGGGAUAACGUAGGGAAACUUACGCUAAUACCGCAUACGACCUACGGGUGAAAGCAGGGGAUCUUCGGACCUUGCGCGAUUGAAUGAGCCGAUGUCGGAUUAGCUAGUUGGCGGGGCAAAGGCCCACCAAGGCGACGAUCCGUAGCUGGACUGAGAGGAUGAUCCGCAGCUCUGGAGCUAGGACGCGGUGCCACACCCUACGGGAGGCAGGGGUGGGGAAUCUUCGAGAAUGGGCGCAAGCCUGAUCUAGCCAUACCGCGUGGGUGAAGACGGCCUUCGGGUUGUAAAGCCCUUUUGUUGGGAAAGAAAAGCAGCAGGUUAAUCCCCCGCUGUUCUGCCGGUACCCAAAGAAUAAGCCCCGGCUAACUUCGU